rnacentral:rRNA from 1 species
UACAGGGGGGGCAAGCGUUGUUCGGAAUUACUGGGCUUAAAGGGUGCGUAGGCGGCGCAGUAAGUUGGGUGUGAAAUCCCUCGGCUUAACCGAGGAAUUGCGCCCAAAACUACUGUGCUCGAGGGAGAUAGAGGUGAGCGGAACUUAGGGUGGAGCGGUGAAAUGCGUUGAUAUCCUAAGGAACACCGGUGGCGAAAGCGGCUCACUGGAUCUCUUCUGACGCUGAGGCACGAAAGCUAGGGUAGCAAACGGG